rnacentral:rRNA from 1 species
UAGGGAAUCUUCCGCAAUGGACGAAAGUCUGACGGAGCAACGCCGCGUGAGUGAAGAAGGAUUUCGGUUCGUAAAACUCUGUUGUGAGGGAAGAAAAAAUGUAUAGUAACUAUAUACAAAAGAGACGGUACCUAACCAGAAAGCCACGGCUAACUACGUGCCAGCAGCCGCGGUAAUACGUAGGUGGCAAGCGUUGUCCGGAAUUAUUGUGCGUAAAGCGCGCGCAGGUGGUUUAGAAAGUCUGAUGUGAAAGCCCACGGCUGAACCGUGGAGGGUCAUUGGAAACUACUAAACUUGAGUGCAGGGGAGAAAAGUGGAAUUCCAUGUGUAGCGGUGAAAUGCGUAGAUAUAUGGAGGAACACCGGUGGCGACAGCGGCUCUCUGGUCUGUAACUGACGCUGAGGCUCGAAAGCGUGGGGAGCGAACAGG